AGUAGAAAUGAGGUUUCACCAUGUUGGCCCAGCUAGUCUUGAACUCCUGACCUCAGGUGAUCCACCCACCUCGGCCUCCCAAAGUUCUGGGAUUACAGGCGUGAACCACCACGCCCAGCCUCUUAUGUCUAUUUUCUGAGGCAGAUUCUCUAUCCCUCCCAUUGAUUCUGUGCAAUACAAUAUCCUCCCAGUACAUUCCAGCCGAGAGUCAGUUUCGGCAGCAGACACUGUGAUGGGCUCUCCACGGUUCCCUUCCAGUCUGAAGGACUUAUUCUCUCAGCUGUUGAGUGGGCUGCUGGCAGACAGCCCUCAGCUGUCAGCCCUCUUCAGCAUGGCCUCAGUGAAGAGGGUCUCUUUACCUAAGGUUACACCCCCUCACUGGAGCAAUCUGAAUCCAGAGGCUGGUCAACAUAGGUCAUAAGGCCCCCUUUCCCACUCAAGAGGGGUUGUCAGAUAACAUGAUACUCAGUUAAUUUAAAUUUCAGAUAAACAGUGAAAAAGAUAUAUGUAUGUUGAAAGUAUUACACGGAGCACACAUAUUAAAAAUUAUUCAUUGUUGGCCGGGCGCGGUGGCUCACACCUGUAGUCCCAGCACUUUCGGAGGCUGAGGCAGGUGGAUCAUGAGUGAUCUGCCUGCCUCAGCCUCCCAAAGUGCUAGGAUUACAGGCAUGAGCCACCACACCCGGCCUGUUCUCCAUUUUAGAGCCUGGUUCCCAAGCAAUCCAAACUGUGACAGUUUCUCUUCCUUGCAAAAGGGUGAUCAAUUGUCCUGGUAUGCCCAGGACUGAGGGAGUUCUUGAGAUAAGAUGAUUGCCCACCUUGCAACCAAGAAUUCUAAGAGAUAUAACUCUCAAUAGCUUGGGUGACCAAAAAGUGUCACUGUUUAUCACCCUUUGAGGAGUCUGUGAUGUAAAUAAAAAUAUAUUUGGUCUUUGCCCCACUGCCUGGCACAGAGCUUUUAAAACUUUUGGCAUUUCCUGAAUGAUGGGAAUGUCUUUUGUUACCCAUGACAAGCUCCUUUUUUUUUGAGAUGAAGUCUCACUCUUGUUCCCCAGGCUGGAGUGCGAUGGCACGAUCUUGGCUCAUUGCAACCUCCGCCUCCCGGGUUCAAGCAAUUCUCCUGCCUUGGCCCCCCGAGUAGCUGGGAUUACAGGCACUUGCCACCAUGCCCAGCUAAUUUUUGUAUUUUUAGUAGAGAUGGGGUUUCACCACGUUGGCCAGGCUAGUCUAGAACCCCUGACCUCAGGUGAUCCACCCGCCUCGGCCUCCCAAAGUGCUGGGAUUACAGGUGUGAGCCACCGUGCCCGGCCACAAGCUCCUUUUGAUAACACCUGAGUUUAUGCUAGCAAGGUAACUUAGGGUGGGGCCUCCAGAUAGCAUCAGGAUGGGGGCUGGUUACCAGAAAGACCAAGUGUUGGGAGGGUUGUCAUUUUCUUUUUUUUCUGAGACGGAGUCUCACUCUGUCGCCCAGGCUGGAGUGCAGUGGCGUGAUCUCUGCUCACUGCAAUCUCUGCCUCUUAGGUUCAAGCGAUUCUCCUGCCUCAGCCUCCUGAGUAGCUGGGAUUACAGGCACGC
rnacentral:lncRNA from 10 species